AUCUAUUUUCUUAUAAAACAAUAUUUAUAGAGUUAUACGUAAAUAAUUUUUGUAGCGUAAAAGCUAAAUAAAUUCAUACAUACUGUAAUACAGUAAGUCAGGGUAUGUAAUUUAAUUUACAAUAACAAGAGGGCCCCCCGAAUAAAUAAAAGUAAAGAGACUGUGAACCUACAGUUUGAAAAAUGCAGAUCUAACGGUAGUCUUUGAUGAGAUCAGCUAUCUACAGUCUAUACUGAACCUGAAAUGGAUGGAAAGGAGGGUGGUGAGAUUAUAAAAUCCCAAUGAGUAAACAGACAUUAUCAUAAACAUCUAGAGUUGAGUACAUGGAGACAAUAAAGUAAAUCAUCGUAAACUGGGUCACAGUAUUAGAACACAUUUCAUUCAAAUUAUGUAAAGAGGCUUAUGAAUCUCAUAAAAACUAGGCUUGUGCCAUAAAUCCAUUCUUAGGGACACCUUGGCCGAGGCAUCCUACCGAGACCGCCAAGGCUGUUAAAAAUUCACAUUUCGCAAAAAGCAUAUUUUUAUUUUGAAACAUAGCCAUUCCUUGGCGUUGGCUGAGUUUCCCCUCACGUGGUGAUUUGGCGUGAAGUGAACCCUAAGCUUUACCCCAGGAGAUACCCUACAUGCCUUUCCAUUCUAGGUAAGAAUAUAAUGGGGUUUACUAUGCCCCUCUAAAAGGCUGGUCCACAGAAACUCCCUACUGCAAUGAUUAAUUAAUAUAUAAUCCACCAUAUAAUAAAAUUUUGACGGCAUGACAGGGCUAAUGAAAUACUACCCAACUUGCAAAGGUAAAAUGAAACAAUUCAUACAAUUCAUAAAACACAGCCCAGCCAGUCAUGUUAACACAAUAACAAUAUAACAUAAGCCAUCAAUUUAAACAAUCAAAUUGCCACAAUUAACAGUCUCCAUGUACUCUAUUUUUCAAAAUCAUUAUUAAUUUCAAAACAAUUAUAAAUUAAUUUCAUUGGAACACCUUUAUUCAUAAAAUAUGAAAAUUUACCUUUUUAAAUCCAUUUUUCCAUAGAAUUCAUGAAAUCAUCUAAAAACCACCCUAGAUAAUUAAAAUGACAGUAAGUUUACUCACAAUGUCUAGAAUGCAGACUUUCGAAGUACUCUGUCUACUGGUCCUCAGAUGCAAUUUUCUUGCCUUUAUCGGAGGAUUCACCACCUUGACACAGUACAAAAUCGAGAAAUUCACCACAUUGAUACUAAAUUGAAAUUAAACUAAUUUAAACUACUAAUGCAUGAUAUGGAAUGCAAAAAUGUCCGAAUAGCCGUUUAAAUACGGUAUUCGACCUAAUUCGCACUAUUCUCUGUGUAAUUGGCUAAAACCUCCAAUUUAACUCCAAAUCGAUUUCUUUCACUUUCUACACUCCAAUUAUACUUAAAAUACCUCAAUGACUGUGAAUAUAAUUCAAUUUAUCAGUCCGAACCAUAAAUCGCACAUGUCUAUACAUUAGGUAAAAAUUCAGAUUUUCAUGCCAAAAUUUUCCAUUAAAUUUCUAGCCUCACCAAUCAUUAAAUACCACCAAAAUAUCAUGAAAUAUCAUCAAUUUCAGCCUCAAUAUCCUCCCUAGAAAAUUCGGCCUCUUGUGGGUUUGUGAAGAACAAAGUGAUUUCUUGCUAGAUUUUAAUACUUUCCAUUACUAAACAACCAAAAACACUUAAUUAACUUGAAAUCUAGCAAAAUCAAUGCUCAAAACCUCUCCUCUCAAAUUUGGCCAGCAUGGGUUCAUCAUGAAAGCUUGAGUUCUAAGCAUGCAAAAUGAAAAAGAAAGCAUGGGUAGUAUAAAUCACAAGAUAAAAUCACAAAAUUUUACCUUUAUUAGCUUAAUUCCUUGAAAUCUCACACUUUUUCUUCAAUUUUCCCACCUAGGUUUUGUUCUUUCUUUGUUCUUCUUCACUUCAUGCUUUGGCCAG
rnacentral:lncRNA from 1 species